AAGCCCCGGCAGCGUAUUACUCUGCGUCUCUGGAUUUGCAAUCCAACGUGUGUACUCCACCACGAGGCU
rnacentral:tRNA from 1 species